rnacentral:tRNA from 1 species
GGGCUCGGAGUCGGCCGGUAAGACGCUCGCUCCGCAAGCGAGAGACAGCGGGUUCAAUUCCCGCCGAGUCCA